rnacentral:rRNA from 1 species
UUCCAGACUCCUACGGGAGGCAGCAGUGGGGAAUAUUGGGCAAUGGGCGCAAGCCUGACCCAGCAACGCCGCGUGAAGGAAGAAGGCUUUCGGGUUGUAAACUUCUUUUCUCAGGGACGAAGAAAGCGACGGUACCUGAGGAAUAAGCCACGGCUAACUACGUGCCAGCAGCCGCGGUAAUACGUAGGUGGCAAGCGUUAUCCGGAUUUACUGGGUGUAAAGGGCGUGUAGGCGGGACUGCAAGUCAGAUGUGAAAACCAUGGGCUCAACCUGUGGCCUGCAUUUGAAACUGUGUUUCUUGAGUGCUGGAGAGGCAAUCGGAAUUCCGUGUGUAGCGGUGAAAUGCGUAGAUAUACGGAGGAGCACCAGUGGCGAAGGCGGAUUGCUGGACAGUAACUGACGCUGAGGCGCGAAAGCGUGGGGAGCAAGCAGGAUUAGAUACCCCUGUAC